GUAGAAAAAGGGGCCAGCACAACCGAAAAUCCUUUACUGAUCAAGGCAGUCUUAAAAUGCAAUCUUAUGUGAAUUAGCCAUGACUGAGAUGAACACUGAGUAGCCAGAAUAAGGCCAAGAUGAAAAAAGCUGAUUGUAUUCAUGACUGACUGGGACAGAAUGCAGGCUCUUACAAAGUCUAGAAGACCACCCACUAAGGCAAAUGACGAAUCUAGAGGACAUGAAGGAAGGAUCAUAACUGAAGUUGUGGAGCCAGUAAUUUAGAGCUGGGAAGACAAGAUUACAGCAAAAGCAACUGGAAUUGAUAAGGGAACAUGAGAUUGGGAGAGAUAGUCCUGAGUGACAUUGCACAUUGGCUGGUGUUUGGGGAUUACCCUUGUGAGCUGGCAGGAGCAUGAAGCAAGGAAAGAUUCCACAAAGGCAAAGGGGAAGCUUACAUGAAGCAGACCUGAGUUCCUGCUAUUACUUAUGUGCAACAUCAGAAAGAGAAUUCCAUGGUAAGUGUAGACAGUCUCUAAGGUUUGAGGCUCACCAUAUGAAGGAAUGUUUUCCUGGAAAGCUCUUCUUCUCCAGUCUGGCAUUCAUCCUUCUGAAACAUUUACCCUUCUGUCAGCUGGUCCUCUGGCCUAUUAAAACCAGAUCCCAGGUAAGGUCCCGAUGUCUACCUUGCAAAGGUAUUGGAUGGGGUAUCCUUUUGACUGGGAAAUGAAAUGUUGAUGUCCUGUGAAGGAAAAUUUAAUCCCCAGUAUGGUGGACAAGGAAAGCAUUGUUUUUGUUGGUUUCCUUUCUUUUUGUGUUUAAACUAGUAGGGUGUGGAGGACAGGGGAGAAGUGCCCUAUCCACAGUGCCUGAGGGCAGCUUAGCAACCCAGGAGUGUGUAGAGAGAAACUGGCUUAGCUGGUAUAGGAAGUUCUGUAGGAAACAUUCAUGGGCUCUGAGAAGUUGCAUUUCUAUCAAUGGGAGAUUUUCGGUUUUUUUAACUUUUUUGAAGUGUGGAGAUUUCUUAAUUUUCUCAAGAGUAAAAGUUUAACGAGUACUGUUUUCUUUUAGUUGAAGUUGAUGUCUCAUCCAGCCUUAAUGUUGCUAGUAGCAGGGCUAUUCUUAAAACCAUUCCUAAAAAAGAAUCAGCUACCUCACCAGAAACUGCCACAGCAUUCCUCGACUCUUCAGAAAUUCCAUUUCAUGCCAUUCUUAUUUGGAACAUACUUUGCAAUUAACAGUGUUCUAGUUCCUGUGAAUUGUGAAAAGAAUGAAUAGUGGGAGUUCCCAUUGUGGCUCAGCAGUAACAAACCAGAUUAGUACCCAUGAGGAUGGACAUUUGAUCCCUGGCCUGCUCAGUGGGUUAAGGAUCUGGCGUUACCUUGAGCUGUGGUGUAGGUCACAGAUGCGCCUCAGUUGCUGUGGGUGUGGCUGUUGCUGUGGUGUAGGCCGGCAGCAAUAGCUCCAACUUGACCCCUAGCUUGGGAACUUACAUAUGCCCA
rnacentral:lncRNA from 1 species